CAGCCAACGAGAGAACGAUACGCAACUGCACGUAGUCCGAGCCCGAGCCUGAGCCCGAGACUCUCCGAACCGCGCCGACGCAAGCCGAGUGCCGCCGGUGACGGACGAUCGACUCCGAAAUCUUGCGACGCGUUGCAUCGUGUUACGUCGCGUUACGCUUGCAGCAGGACCGACUUGAACGCGCUGCCAACUCGAUCUUAUCAGGGGCGAUUGUUUGAAUUUGUCUGUGAAUUACGACACCGAUUGGCGAACUUUUGCGCAAGACUCUCCCGUGUGUUCAUUCAAUCCGACUCGAUUCGAUACUUUUUAAUGUAAAUUAUUUAGACGAAUCGAAUACCGUACCGUCAGGUAACGUUCAUCAACUCCCUGUUUAUAAUAUGUAAACGUCGGUACAAACGUUUCAACGAUCUUUGUAUUCGCAGUGUAAUAUAAAGUGUGUAUAUACCAUAUUUGCACUUAACAUGUGAAAACGUGUUAGUUUAGAAUAAGGUUUCUCAACAUUUUCAACAUUUUAUAAACAGCCUUCCAUUAAGAAACUUAAUUCAUGUAAUUGUAACACAGUAGGUACAGACGCCUAGUCUGCAAUCGCGCAUGCGUCAGGAGCGGAUCAAUCACGCAACAUACCCGCCAACGGCUAUGCCUCGGAAGGUAAUUUCUAAUGAUCGCAAUUCUCCGUACUUUCUUGCGCGUGAAAUGGUCUGUGCUGGAUCCUCUGUACUUUCACCUGGAUUUUGAACCGGAACUUGGACUGGACAAUCGAUGUCGCGCAUCCUCGAAAGUUUGUUAAACGCUCAGUGUUCUAGGUUAGAUGCAGUGGCUGGAUUCCAUCGUAUCAAUUGAUACUCGGCGAUAUUGAAUGGUCGAUAAACUAGUCGAGAACGAGGCGCGGGGAGUAGCAGAAAUCGGUUAAUAAAAUUCGAUACAGUUGGAUGACUCAUUUAUAGCGAUCGCGGGUGGCCACCAAGGGCGAUGGAGAUUCUCGAUCCAACACUGUUCGUAUAGCGAUGGGCUCAAGACGCUCUGAAUACAAUAUUUUAGGAUCAUUCCAAAUACUAUUUGAAGUAAAUGCAUAGAGUCUUGAGAAUUUUAGAAUUUUGAACAACUCCUACAUAGCAGAGAUUGCACCAUUCGAAGUAAUGUAAUCUGUGUACACAGAUAUGUACACACGUUUCGACAUGUAUACGAUUUCCUUCAGUUUCUAUUCUUUCGAAAAAAUCCACUGUUUCAAGGCCUCCGAGACCUUUCGCAAAACCAGUUUCUCAUUAAUUCUGCCAAAAUUGUUGAACGUUUCCCAAUUCCACACCUAUAUUCUACAGAGGAACAAGAUGUCGAAAAUAGCAUACUGUAUACCAGAACCGAAACGGCUUUAGACCUACGGAUCUCGAGAUGGGCCAGCGUAAACAAAGUGUCCAUAAUAUCGGACGUCAUCGUAUAGGUCCAAAUACGUAAAAUGCCUGACACAAAAGACAUUCUUAUCCAAGUCGUCCGCAUCGACUGACGUCUAAAUCGUUUGUACAACAUUAUACACUUCCUGUAUAGAGUGCUUCAAUGAAUCAUUAUAGCAAGAAUAACAAUUGCGUGAAGACUCUAACGCCAA